rnacentral:rRNA from 1 species
AUGCCCGGAGCCAUCGGAGGUCAGAUAAGCUCCUCCUUACUCACUCUACGACAUCUCAAGCACCUGGACCUCUCGUACAACAAUUUCAGUGGUAGUCCCAUCCCGGAGUUCAUCGGGGGUCUUAGGAGCCUUAAACAUCUCGCCCUCACCAGCUCAUCUUUCGGUGGGCGAAUCCUUCCCCACCUCGGGAACCUAUCCAAUCUGGUCAGCCUUGACCUCUCAAUUCAGUUACGUGGUUUUUGCUCGCCUGAUCUCAGAUGGUUGUCACGCCCGCAGAAGCUACAAUAUCUCGACAUGUCUGAGGUGGACCUCAGCGCUAACGUUGACUGGACUCAUGUUGUCAACAUGCUCCCCUCCCUGAUAACCCUUUGA